rnacentral:rRNA from 1 species
CCUACGGGAGGCAGCAGUGAGGAAUAUUGGUCAAUGGGCGUAAGCCUGAACCAGCCAAGUCGCGUGAGGGAUGAAGGUUCUAUGGAUCGUAAACCUCUUUUAUAAGGGAAUAAAGUGCGGGACGUGUCCCGUUUUGUAUGUACCUUAUGAAUAAGGAUCGGCUAACUCCGUGCCAGCAGCCGCGGUAAUACGGAGGAUCCGAGCGUUAUCCGGAUUUAUUGGGUUUAAUGGGUGCGUAGGCGGCCUUUUAAGUCAGCGGUGAAAGUCUGUGGCUCAACCAUAGAAUUGCCGUUGAAACUGGGAGGCUUGAGUAUGUUUGUGGCAGGCGGAAUGCGUGGUGUAGCGGUGAAAUGCUUAGAUAUCACGCAGAACCCCGAUUGCGAAGGCAGCCUGCCAAGCCAUGACUGACGCUGAUGCACGAAAGCGUGGGGAGCAAACAGGAUUAGAUACCCUAGUAGUC